rnacentral:rRNA from 1 species
AUAUUCCCGUACCCGCUUCAAUGCGCCCAUAUCGAACCUCGUGAUGCUAAGAGUCCUUAAGUCCUCUGAUGUCCUUCGGGACUAGGGGUGAGGCUGAACGCUCGAUCCGAUCGGGUAGUAGGUAAGCGAUGGGGUGACGCAGGAAGGUAGUCCAGCCCAGGCGAUGGUUGUCCUGGGGUAAGCAUGUAGGGCGUGUCGUAGGUAAAUCCGCGGCAUUUAAGCCUGAGAUGUGAUGCCGAGCCGAUUGUGGUGAAGUGGAUGAUCCUAUGCUGCCGAGAAAAGCCUCUAGUGAGUGUUGUGGCGGCCCGUACCCUAAACCGACUCAGGUGGUCAGGUAGAGAAUACCAAGGCGAUCGGGUGAACUGUGGUUAAGGAACUCGGCAAAUUGCCCCCGUAACUUCGGGAGAAGGGGGACCUCUGUUGGUGAUGGGCUUUACGCCUGGAGCUGGUGGGGGUCGCAGUGGCCAGGGGGAAGCGACUGUUUACUAAAAACACAGGUCCGUGCGAAGUCGUAAGACGAUGUAUACGGACUGACGCCUGCCCGGUGCCGGAACGUUAAGGGGACCGCUUAGCCGACGUGAGUUGGCGAAGGUGAGAACUUAAGCGCCGGUAAACGGCGGUGGUAACUAUAACCAUCCUAAGGUAGCGAAAUUCCUUGUCGGGUAAGUUCCGACCUGCACGAAUGGCGUAACGACUUCCCCGCUGUCUCAACCGCAGACCCGGCGAAAUUGCACUACGAGUAAAGAUGCUCGUUUCGCGCAGCAGGACGGAAAGACCCCGGGACCUUCACUACAGCUUGACAUUGGCGUUUGGAACGUCUUGUGUAGGAUAGGUGGGAGACUGGGAAGCUGUCACGCUAGUGAUGGUGGAGUCAUUGGUGAAAUACCACUCUGGUCGUUUUGAACGUCUAACUCUGGUCCGUGAUCCGGAUCGGGGACAGUGUCUGGUGGGUAGUUUAACUGGGGCGGUUGCCUCCUAAAGAGUAACGGAGGCGCCCAAAGGUUCCCUCAGCCUGGUUGGCAAUCAGGUGUUGAGUGUAAGUGCACAAGGGAGCUUGACUGUGAGACUGACAGGUCGAGCAGGAGCGAAAGCUGGGACUAGUGAUCCGGCAUCGGCGUGUGGAAGCGGUGUCGCUCAACGGCUAAAAGGUACCCCGGGGAUAACAGGCUGAUCUUCCCCAAGAGUCCAUAUCGACGGGAUGGUUUGGCACCUCGAUGUCGGCUCGUCGCAUCCUGGGGCUGAGUAGGUCCCAAGGGUUGGGCUGUUCGCCCAUUAAAGCGGUACGCGAGCUGGGUUUAGAACGUCGCGAGACAGUUCGGUCCCUAUCCGCUGCGCGCGCAGGAGACUUGAAGGGGGCUGUCCCUAGUACGAGAGGACCGGGACGGACGAACCUCUGGUGUGCCAGUUGUACCGCCAGGUGCACGGCUGGUUGGCUACGUUCGGAAGGGAUAACCGCUGAAAGCAUCUAAGCGGGAAGCUCGCCUUGAGAUGAGGUCUCCCACCACGAGAGUGGGUAAGACUCCCGGUAGACGACCGGGUUGAUAGGCCGGAGGUGGAAGCACGGUAACGUGUGGAGCUGACCGGUACUAAUAGGCCGAGGACUUGACC